rnacentral:rRNA from 1 species
UACAGAGGGGGCAAGCGUUGUUCGGAAUUACUGGGCGUAAAGGGUUCGUAGGUGGCUGGCUAAGUCAGACGUGAAAUCCCUCAGCUUAACUGGGGAACUGCGUCUGAGACUGGCGAGCUUGAGUGCAGGAGAGGAACGCGGAAUUCCAGGUGUAGCGGUGAAAUGCGUAGAUAUCUGGAGGAACACCGGUGGCGAAGGCGGCGUUCUGGACUGUAACUGACACUGAGGAACGAAAGCCAGGGUAGCAAACGGG